rnacentral:rRNA from 5 species
GAUGAACGCUAGCGGCAGGCUUAACACAUGCAAGUCGAGGGGUAACAGGUAGCUUGCUAUGCUGACGACCGGCGCACGGGUGCGUAACGCGUAUAGAACCUACCUUAUAGUAAGGGAUAGCCCAGAGAAAUUUGGAUUAAUACCUUAUAGUAUUAUUGAAUGGCAUCGUUUAAUAAUUAAAGAUUUAUUGCUAUAAGAUGGCUAUGCGUUCUAUUAGCUAGUUGGUAUGGUAACGGCAUACCAAGGCUACGAUAGAUAGGGGUCCUGAGAGGGAGAUCCCCCACACUGGUACUGAGACACGGACCAGACUCCUACGGGAGGCAGCAGUGAGGAAUAUUGGACAAUGGAGGCAACUCUGAUCCAGCCAUGCCGCGUGUAGGAAGACUGCCCUAUGGGUUGUAAACUACUUUUAUA